UACGUAGGGUGCGAGCGUUGUCCGGAAUUAUUGGGCGUAAAGAGCUCGUAGGCGGUUUGUCGCGUCUGCUGUGAAAACCCGAGGCUCAACCUCGGGCCUGCAGUGGGUACGGGCAGACUAGAGUGCGGUAGGGGAGAAUGGAACUCCUGGUGUAGCGGUGGAAUGCGCAGAUAUCAGGAGGAACACCGGUGGCGAAGGCGGGUCUCUGGGCAGUAACUGACGCUGAGGAGCGAAAGCGUGGGGAGCGAACAGG
rnacentral:rRNA from 1 species